ACUUCGAAACUUCUUUGGUCAUAUCCAGAAGGCUUACGAAAGAUUCUUAAUUAUAUCAAAGAUAAAUACAAUAAUCCAACUAUUUACAUCACCGAAAACGGUUAUGAUGACUAUGAAGAUGGGAUACUCACACGUGAAGAGAUACUAGAAGAUACGCCGAGAAUAAUGUACCUCCAAAAACAUCUUCAACAUCUCCAGAAAGCGAUCACUGAGGAUGGGUGUGACGUGAGAGGCUAUUUCACAUGGUCGAUGUUGGAUAAUUUCGAAUGGGAACAUGGAUAUGCAACGAGAUACGGAUUGUACUACGUCGACUAUUCAGAUGGUUUAAAAAGAAUUGCUAAAAGCUC